rnacentral:tRNA from 9 species
GCACCCUUAGUUCAAUUGGAUAGAGCAACGGUCUUCUAAAUCGUUAGUUACAGGUUCGAAUCCUGUAGGGUGUACCA